rnacentral:rRNA from 1 species
GUCACACCAUGGGAGCCGACAACGCCCGAAGUCAGUGGCCUAACCUUUAUGGAGGGAGCCGCCUAAGGCGGGACAGAUGACUGGGUGAAGUCGUAACAAGGUAAC